rfam:Sphingobacterium faecium PCAi_F2.5 genome assembly, contig: Scaffold4
GUAACCUUUAAGUUUAGUCCCGUGAGGCUAAGAAGGAAUCAUGCAAAAGAACACUAGGUGCGCUUAGUUAGUAAGUUGUGUGGGCUACAUGGUACCCUUGUACCUUUUUAAACUGUAACCAACAUCCUCCUAUCCUCAUACGGGUAGGAGGAUUUUUUGU